GAAGUGUAUCUAUACUUUUCGUACUAAUCUUACUAUAAUAAAGAAAAGGGGUCAUUUCAACGGACCAACAGGAUUGGCAAUCAUACCCUUCCGCGUUUUUGUUUUCCUGCCUACCUUUUCGUAGAUAUCAGUAAUAUGAGGGGUACAUGCGUAAACCAUAUUUUCUAUCAUCGUCCCGAAAUCAAAAGAUACAAUCCAAAAUCAAUCGGUUCUCUUCUCUUCUCAAAAUUACAGCAUACCUUCCCAGAUCGAAAUAAACAGAUCGAUUUUAACCCAAAUUUUGUUACGAAAGAAGAAAUUUUGUCGGCUCAAUUUUUUGUUAUUCUGAAGCAGAUUCGAGCCUAGAGAACAGGUGUGAUGAAGAUCGUAGUGAAACAGAUGUUGGAAAUUGAGCCCGAUGUAGUUAUGUAUUUAAAGAAGCAAAACAGAAGCUGAACUUGGAACUUUCAGGUUUGAGUGGAACGCAAUCAGGCUGCUAUUAUUGACCUUUGCAGAAGCCCCCGAUUGAUUGAACGUCAAAAAUCAUUAUUAAAUCCACAUAACCAAAUAUUGUGCCGCUAUCCAAGUAUUGCGGCAAUAGCAUCUCUGAAAUUCGUCACUCAAAUUUUGCAAUCUAAUACCUGCAAUAGAAGAGAGCAGCCAGACCGUUAGUUUGAAGCUUCGUAGAAACCCAUGAUUCGCAAUGCAAUACCGAAGUCAAGAUUUGUUACGCGUAUAAAGUGAAACAAGGAAGCUUUACCCUUAAGGACAGUUUUGCUGCUUUUUUUCCGUACACUUAAGAAGGAACGUCCAGGAAAAACUUUGUAUAUAACUAAGUCUUCCCUCUUCAAAAACUUGCAGUAUAUUAUUUAUCAUUAUAGUAUAACAUAAUGCGCCCGAUAUACAUUUUUUUUGUAUGUAUGAUUAUUUUGAUUGAAAUGUUAUUCAAGGAAAAGCUUGAUUUGU